AGCGAACGCUGGCGGCAGGCUUAACACAUGCAAGUCGAGCGGGCAUAGCAAUAUGUCAGCGGCAGACGGGUGAGUAGCGCGUGGGAACGUACCUUUUGGUUCGGAACAACUGAGGGAAACUUCAGCUAAUACCGGAUAAGCCCUUCCGGGGAAAGAUUUAUCGCCGAAAGAUCGGCCCGCGUCUGAUUAGCUAGUUGGUGAGGUAAUGGCUCACCAAGGCGACGAUCAGUAGCUGGUCUGAGAGGAUGAUCAGCCACAUUGGGACUGAGACACGGCCCAAACUCCUACGGGAGGCAGCAGUGGGGAAUAUUGGACAAUGGGCGCAAGCCUGAUCCAGCCAUGCCGCGUGAGUGAUGAAGGCCCCAGGGUUGUAAAGCUCUUUUGUGCGGGAAGAUAAUGACGGUACCGCAAGAAUAAGCCCCGGCUAACUUCGUG
rnacentral:rRNA from 1 species